rnacentral:rRNA from 1 species
GCGGCAAACGGGGUAGUAAUGCGUCGGAACAAACCCUCAGAUCGAGGAUAGCCACGGGAAACUGUGGGUAAUACACGAUAAUCUCUUAGGAGCAAAGGUUUACUGUCUGGGGACUGGCUGACGUGGUAUUAGGUAGUUGGUGGGGUAAUGGCCUACCAAGCCGACGAUGCCUAGGGGGUGUGGGAGCAUGGCCCCCACCAUUGGGACUGAGACACUGCCCAGACACCUACGGGUGGCUGCAGUCGAGAAUCUUCGGCAAUGGGCGAAAGCCUGACCGAGCGACGCCGCGUGCGGGAUGAAGGCCCUUGGGUUGUAAACCGCUGUCAGGGGGGAUCAAGGCGUAAGCUUGAGAGAGCCCCAGAGGAAGCACGGGCUAAGUUCGUGCCAGCAGCCGCGGUAAUACGAACUGUGCGAACGUUAUUCGGAAUCACUGGGCUUAAAGGGUGCGUAGGCGGCGAAUCAAGUCUGUUGUGAAAUCUCUCGGCUCAACCGGGAAAGUGCAGUGGAAACUGAUUUGCUAGAGUAAGACAGGGGUGUAUGGAACUUCCAGUGGAGCGGUGAAAUGUGUUGAUAUUGGAAGGAACACCGGUGGCGAAAGCGAUACACUGGGUCUUAACUGACGCUGAGGCACGAAAGCCAGGGGAGCGAACGGGAUUAGAUACCCCGGUAGUCCUG